rnacentral:misc_RNA from 1 species
CGAUUAAUUUUGUUAUUCAGACAAUUGCGUAAUUAAAAUAUUUUUAUUGCCGGUAUAUACAAAUUGUCAACGAGAGCUGCCUAUAGGUUAGAGUACUGGCUCACUAUAUCUGUAUUUUAUUUCCCAAAAAGUCAAAGUAAAAUGGCGCCCGACGAUCAAAUAUCUGAUCAAGAAAAGGUUCGAAUUGCUUCGGAUUUCAUACGCCAUGCCCCUCCUGGAGAAUUCAAUGAAGUGUUUACAGAUGUGCGUGUCCUCUUGAAUAAUGACACUCUCCUCAAAGAAGGAGUUGCAGGUGCCUUUGCCUUGUAUAAUAAAGAUCAGCUCACUCCUGUCAAACUUCCAAACUCUAGUAUUCCUUCUCUGGUUACUGAGCACAAUGAUAUAGGGGGUGGAAGGUUUUUUGAUCCUCGUUCAAAACAGUCUUUUAAGUAUGACCAUUUGAGAAAGGAGGCUUCUGAUCUUCAGGCAUGGGAAUCUGAUUCUGCUGUUGAGUCAUGGAGGGAUGCAUUAGAAUCCCAAUUUACUGAGUACACAGCCAACCAUUACAAGCAUGGUGUCUGUGCUGUUUUUGGUCAAAGUAGAAAUGACAGUAUAUCGCUUGUAGCAUGCAUUGAGGAUCAUCAGUUUCAACCCAAAAACUAUUGGAACGGCCGUUGGAGGUCUCAGUGGUGUACAACUUUAACUGGUGGCACUGGAGAGCUUCAAGGAACUUUAAGGGUUCAGGUCCACUAUUAUGAGGAUGGUAAUGUCCAGCUUGUGUGUUCAAAGAAUGUUAAACACUCACUCACAUGCUCAAGUGAGGUUGAAACUGCAAAGGAAAUGGUUCGGUUGAUUGAAGAAUCCGAAUCUGAAUAUCAACUGGCGAUUAAUGAAAAUUAUCAAACAAUGUCCGACACUACCUUUAAAGCGUUGCGCCGUCAAUUACCAAUCACGCGAAGCAAAGUAGACUGGGAAAAGAUCAUUUCGUACAAAAUUGGAAAAGAAAUCAACAAGACCCAAUAACAAUAAGUUCAAUCAGUAAUUACUUACUUAUUAGCCCUUCUUUUUCUUCCAGUUUCUUUAUACUUGUUGGAAAGUAGAUUCCGACCUACUGCCAACUGCUGGCCGAUUGGUUCAAUGUUGUUUACGUUCUCUUCGUGGUUUUGUUGUGUCGAGUGUUGGAUGAUUUGAUCAAGGUUGUUUUUAGAUUAGCGUAAAAUUAUCCUGAUCAAGUUAUUUCGCGUCAUCGGUACGCUGCCUUUGUGCGCGCAUUGCUGAUGCGAUGCGCCCUUUAUUAUUAUCAAAUUAAUAUUAAAUCGUCGUCCAUUGAAAAUUUUGCAUCCGAUUUAAUUUCUUUUAUUAUCAGUGGAUUGAUUGGCUUUGGUUACUAGGUAAAAGUAAUCAAAUCAGUAUGACUGAUAUCUAGGUGUUUUGGUUUUCACUACUGAAUUUGUUCCUCAUCUUUUGCUCCUUUUCGUAUCUUUAUAUCCUGUAUGAAUGCCUAUUGCCUAUAAAGAAAGAUGUAGUGAUUCCAUAAGCCUCAUUUUGUGUUAUGGGCCGUUGGACUUACAAAGUGGAAAUACAGCCGUGUUGGAUUUGUUGAAAAUA